AUCCCUUCUCGGCCUUUUGGCUAAGAUCAAGUGUAGAGAUCUGUUCUUAUCAGUUUAACAUCUGAUAUGUCCUCUAUUGAGGACAGCAUAUUAAAUGGAUUUUUAGAGCAGGGGGAUGGUCUAGGAGCUCACUCUGUCCAUGCCAUAUUGGUAUUGCACUACUUCCAGGCAUAGUGCAGCACCU